rnacentral:rRNA from 1 species
GACGAACGCUGGCGGCGUGCUUAACACAUGCAAGUCGAACGGAAAGGCCCUGCUUUUGUGGGGUGCUCGAGUGGCGAACGGGUGAGUAACACGUGAGUAACCUGCCCUUGACUUUGGGAUAACUUCAGGAAACUGGGGCUAAUACCGGAUAGGAGCUCCUGCUGCAUGGUGGGGGUUGGAAAGUUUCGGCGGUUGGGGAUGGACUCGCGGCUUAUCAGCUUGUUGGUGGGGUAGUGGCUUACCAAGGCUUUGACGGGUAGCCGGCCUGAGAGGGUGACCGGCCACAUUGGGACUGAGAUACGGCCCAGACUCCUACGGGAGGCAGCAGUGGGGAAUAUUGCACAAUGGGCGGAAGCCUGAUGCAGCAACGCCGCGUGCGGGAUGACGGCCUUCGGGUUGUAAACCGCUUUCGCCUGUGACGAGGCGUGAGUGACGGUAAUGGGUAAAGAAGCACCGGCUAACUACGUGCCAGCAGCCGCGGUGAUACGUAGGGUGCGAGCGUUGUCCGGAUUUAUUGGGCGUAAAGGGCUCGUAGGUGGUUGAUCGCGUCGGAAGUGUAAUCUUGGGGCUUAACCCUGAGCGUGCUUUCGAUACGGGUUGACUUGAGGAAGGUAGGGGAGAAUGGAAUUCCUGGUGGAGCGGUGGAAUGCGCAGAUAUCAGGAGGAACACCAGUGGCGAAGGCGGUUCUCUGGGCCUUUCCUGACGCUGAGGAGCGAAAGCGUGGGGAGCGAACAGGCUUAGAUACCCUGGUAGUCCACGCUGUAAACGGUGGGUACUAGGUGUGGGGUCCAUUCCACGGGUUCCGUGCCGUAGCUAACGCUUUAAGUACCCCGCCUGGGGAGUACGGCCGCAAGGCUAAAACUCAAAGGAAUUGACGGGGCCCCGCACAAGCGGCGGAGCAUGCGGAUUAAUUCGAUGCAACGCGUAGAACCUUACCUGGGUUUGACAUGGAUCGGGAGUGCUCAGAGAUGGGUGUGCCUCUUUUGGGGUCGGUUCACAGGUGGUGCAUGCCUGUCGUCAGCUCGUGUCGUGAGAUGUUGGGUUAAGUCCCGCAACGAGCGCAACCCUUGUUCACUGUUGCCAGCACGUUAUGGUGGGGACUCAGUGGAGACCGCCGGGGUCAACUCGGAGGAAGGUGGGGAUGACGUCAAGUCAUCAUGCCCCUUAUGUCCAGGGCUUCACGCAUGCUACAAUGGCUGGUACAGAGAGUGGCGAGCCUGUGAGGGUGAGCGAAUCUCGGAAAGCCGGUCUCAGUUCGGAUUGGGGUCUGCAACUCGACCUCAUGAAGUCGGAGUCGCUAGUAAUCGCAGAUCAGCAACGCUGCGGUGAAUACGUUCCCGGGGCU